rnacentral:rRNA from 2 species
UACAUGCAAGUCGAACGAACUCUGGUAUUGAUUGGUGCUUGCAUCAUGAUUUACAUUUGAGUGAGUGGCGAACUGGUGAGUAACACGUGGGAAACCUGCCCAGAAGCGGGGGAUAACACCUGGAAACAGAUGCUAAUACCGCAUAACAACUUGGACCGCAUGGUCCGAGUUUGAAAGAUGGCUUCGGCUAUCACUUUUGGAUGGUCCCGCGGCGUAUUAGCUAGAUGGUGGGGUAACGGCUCACCAUGGCAAUGAUACGUAGCCGACCUGAGAGGGUAAUCGGCCACAUUGGGACUGAGACACGGCCCAAACUCCUACGGGAGGCAGCAGUAGGGAAUCUUCCACAAUGGACGAAAGUCUGAUGGAGCAACGCCGCGUGAGUGAAGAAGGGUUUCGGCUCGUAAAACUCUGUUGUUAAAGAAGAACAUAUCUGAGAGUAACUGUUCAGGUAUUGACGGUAUUUAACCAGAAAGCCACGGCUAACUACGUGCCAGCAGCCGCGGUAAUACGUAGGUGGCAAGCGUUGUCCGGAUUUAUUGGGCGUAAAGCGAGCGCAGGCGGUUUUUUAAGUCUGAUGUGAAAGCCUUCGGCUCAACCGAAGAAGUGCAUCGGAAACUGGGAAACUUGAGUGCAGAAGAGGACAGUGGAACUCCAUGUGUAGCGGUGAAAUGCGUAGAUAUAUGGAAGAACACCAGUGGCGAAGGCGGCUGUCUGGUCUGUAACUGACGCUGAGGCUCGAAAGUAUGGGUAGCAAACAGGAUUAGAUACCCUGGUAGUCCAUACCGUAAACGAUGAAUGCUAAGUGUUGGAGGGUUUCCGCCCUUCAGUGCUGCAGCUAACGCAUUAAGCAUUCCGCCUGGGGAGUACGGCCGCAAGGCUGAAACUCAAAGGAAUUGACGGGGGCCCGCACAAGCGGUGGAGCAUGUGGUUUAAUUCGAAGCUACGCGAAGAACCUUACCAGGUCUUGACAUACUAUGCAAAUCUAAGAGAUUAGACGUUCCCUUCGGGGACAUGGAUACAGGUGGUGCAUGGUUGUCGUCAGCUCGUGUCGUGAGAUGUUGGGUUAAGUCCCGCAACGAGCGCAACCCUUAUUAUCAGUUGCCAGCAUUAAGUUGGGCACUCUGGUGAGACUGCCGGUGACAAACCGGAGGAAGGUGGGGAUGACGUCAAAUCAUCAUGCCCCUUAUGACCUGGGCUACACACGUGCUACAAUGGAUGGUACAACGAGUUGCGAACUCGCGAGAGUAAGCUAAUCUCUUAAAGCCAUUCUCAGUUCGGAUUGUAGGCUGCAACUCGCCUACAUGAAGUCGGAAUCGCUAGUAAUCGCGGAUCAGCAUGCCGCGGUGAAUACGUUCCCGGGCCUUGUACACACCGCCCGUCACACCAUGAGAGUUUGUAACACCCAAAGUCGGUGGGGUAACCUUUUAGGAACCAGCCGCCUAAGGUGGGACAGAUGAUUAGGG